ensembl:lncRNA LINC01506 long intergenic non-protein coding RNA 1506
AAACAGAAACUAGAGUGCAUAGGGCUGUGAGAAGUUCUAAGGCAUUUGUGUAUUGCACCGGAGACUGAAAGAAGGGUGAGGUUUUGGGGGCUCUGAUGUGCAAGCCCUGAGAAUGUGGCCUGAUUUUCUCUUCUGUUAUUACAACUGCUCUUCUGCUUGAGUUUCUUCUACACCUUCAAGAUGGCUGAAGAACAAGACGCUUUCUCUCCAUGUCUAUGCUGUUUCACUAUGCUGCAAAUAUUCCCAGCCUUUUCCCCUUGAUGCCCAAAAUAAAUUCCUCAAAUACCCUGAGCCCAGGAA